rnacentral:rRNA from 1 species
GAACCUGCGGAAGGAUCAUUGUUG